CUGACUGCCCAGGGGAGGCACCAAAGAGCUUUGGGGACUGUGCACCCUAGGGACAGGGACACCGCCCUUGUCUCCCAGAGCUGGCCUGCUGUUUGCCCCACCCUGGAAGCAGGCGGAGGAACUGGCUCCCUGAACAGUGAGAACUUGAGGAGAGAGGGAAGGAGCCCCACGCUGGUCACCGCUGAGCGGCCACAGGGCUCUGGGCGCGCUGCAGUCCACAGGCCCCCAUGGGGCUGGGCUGGCCUUCCGGGCAGGGGCUGGCCUGGCUCCUCCUGGACGGGCCUGGGUGUCUUGGCAGGAAUGGUGGUGUCGACAGGCCCCUGACAAGGGGCUUCCUCUGUGUUCCCGGGAGCCGGCCCUGUGUGUGGCAGUGGCUGUAGACAGACGUGAGGACCCGCGUGUCCUGGUAGGUGUGGGUGUGGGGGUGGUGCCCGCGGGUCUGUGAGCAGCAGGACGUGUGUGUGACCGUGUGUGUGACUGUGUGUCUGUGCAUGCGUGGGCGGGAGUGUGAGCAUCGCGGGCACAGCGGGCCCUCUCUGCCGCGGAGGGCCUGCCGUCCAGCACCUCCAUCCUUCCCUGGGCUCGCACCUGCUGGGGGACUGGGGCAGAGUCCUCUGAUGCCCUGAGCUUUGUGGGAGGGUCAGUUGGGAGCAUUCCCACAGCACUAGGGGAGGGCGGUGGCUGCUGGCUCCCUGCUGUUUCUGACCACAAGAGCUGGUGCUCCUCUCUGUGCCCUGGCACCUGCCCAGGGCCUGGCCUGUGCGGGGCUGGUGGGGUAUGCAGAGCUGAACUGCCCUUGAGAGCCUUGUGGGUGCUGGGGACACAGGGGAAUGGGCAACCCAGGGAUGAAUUGGGCUGAAGGGUGGGUCUACCAGGGACCAGAUGGGGACGUGGGUGCCCCUCUCAGGGGACAGCCAUGCCAACCCCAAGGUCGAGGCAACACCUGUGCUAAGCCCAGACUGAACAGGACUCCUGCCAUCCCUCACAUCUACCCCACUCCUGCUUCCUCUGGAUGGGGCAGAGGCCUGUGAGGGGCUGGUGCCCUGCGUCCCUGCAUGAUGAGCAGGUGAAUGGCAGGCAGGCGAGUGGGUCACUGUCAAGGCUUCUGGGUGUCUCCAGCAGCCAGCCAGACUUCCCUGACCCAAGCAGCAGAGCUUCUCUGACACCUGCAGACCAGCCCAGGGAGCAUGCGGGGGGAUUCAGGCCUUCACAGUCCUGCGGGGAAGCUCAGGGAUGGGCUGGCUGGGCUCUGCCCAGGCUCCCAGAUCUAGAAGAGCUUCCAAGAGGCCUAGCCUGGGCCACCCGGCCAGGGGCCACCCUUAACAACAAUCCCACCAAGGCAAGGUCUAAUGUGGAGGCCAAGUUCCCCAAGUCAGUCUGUAGGAAAAAGGGGGGUGGCUGCUGGUCAGGCAAGUCAUAGCCCUCCAGGACCCUCACCUUCCGGGAACACAAGGCCGGAGGUGGCCUUCUUGUGGCAUCUGGUGUCCUCAGGUUGAGGCCAACUAGCAGGUGGAAGGUAGGUUCCAACCUGCUCCACUAAGACGGCUGCCACUGCACGUGUCCCCGGGCUGCUGACCUGAGGUGGAGGCCCCUCAGGCGACAGGGCGAGGUGGCAGCUCUGCAGGGCUGGUUUCCUGAGAGGCUCUUCCCAGCUCUGAGGCCCCCAAGACUCUACAGGGCAGGAGGGGGAAUCUCACCCCCGCCCCCCGCCCAACCUCGUCCUGCUGGGAGGAGGUCCCUGUGGUAUCCUCUUGUACAGACGACACGCAGGGCUUGUUCCUGGUGCCUGCAUUUCUCUGUCUGGCCAGUAAGCCCGGCCUGCCUCAGCCCAAUUAUCCAGUCAGCCUCCUGCUGCCAAUGGCCUCCCGUGGGUGGGAGGUCGGCCUCCUCUGGCACCAGCUGGUGUGGCAGCCGUUUUCCAACCUGAGCCUGUCCCAGCUGUGAGGUUGGAUGACCCUUAUUUUACGGACUUACCGUGAGGACUGCCCCUGUAACUCCCCCGGCUGAGCCCCACGUCUGCACACUGGCCGCGGGAAACAGGACACCAGCUGGACCGGGAGGAGCCGAGGGUGUGCGUGCUGGGGUCCUUGGAAGCCCAAGAGAAAGCUCAUCCAGGGACACAGCCCCCCAGUUCCCUUCUGUCCAGGAGAAAGCCCCUCGCUCGGGCCUGGCCUCGCUCUCUGCUGGUCCCUGCUGGGGCUGCCUCCUCUCUCCUAGCUUCCCAGCCCCGCUACCUGCCCAGUGAGCUCCGGGCCUCCGCAUUUCCUCAGAUUUCUGAGCCACGGAGAUCCCUUUUCCUCGCUGGGGGGGGAAGGGGCGCCUGGAGGCAGGCAUGGUUUUCUUUCUUUGCUGUCACACAGAUGGCGUCCCUACCUGGUGGGGGCCCCUGGAGACUGUCGGGUCGAGAGUGGUUUGUAUUGUCACCAUCAUCGUCAUAGAAAACAUGGGCUUUCAGGUCCCAGUUGCCCUUGGCUGAUGAAGAUUCCCGGGUUCUACAGUUUGUUUGUGCACCUGACCCACAGAUUCAUUCCAGGACAGGGUUUUCCUUGUGCUCAAAUAGCCCAGCACGAAGUCGGGGCUCAUUAUACGUCGUUACAGGUCUCUAUUCAAGGUCUUUAAAGAGGACAUGUUGAUGUCAAGUGAGGACACAGCUAGUGAUGCUUCUGCCUAGAACCUUCACUGGCUCCCCAGCACUGCUCUAUAGGACAGCAUUCAGCACCUUGGUGUUCUGGGCUCUUCUGGCUUCUUAGCUGUCCCUGAAUGGUCACAUUUGGGUAUGCUGUUUUUGCCGUCUUCAGUACUCUUACCAUGUCUCCCUGGGAUGGCCCCAAUUCACCUCUCACUGUAGGUUUGGUCACCCCCAGCCUCCUCCAGCUCUACUCUAGAGCAGGAGGCUACUGCUGGUCUCAUGGAACCCCUCCCUCCCGCCAGCACCCUGCUGGCCUGGCUCAGGAUCACCAUGUCCUCUUAGGAGUACCCUCCCAUCUCUGAGCUCUAGGAGGGCAGGACUGUGCCUGUCCCAGUACCGGCAGCAUGCGGGACCCACAAAGGGCUCAAGCAAACGAGGAAGUGGGUGUUCUUGUUUUGUUCCGUGUUUUAGCAAAGAAGUUUCAGUUCUGGUUCAAGAGGAUGCAUUACGUAUUCCUCUUCUCAAUGAUGUCACCUCUGGCUUUGAAGAAAAUUUUGAAAAUGAUAAGCACCUUGCUUACUGGGUUCUUUCUUCAACAUAGCAUAUGGUGUGUUGAGUUUUUCAGUCAGAUCAAUUAUUUGUUCACACACACACACACACACACACACAUCGACAUCCAGCAGUUUGGCAAAAUUAAGUCCCUGCUUUCCUCUGCCUGGACUCUGGAUCUGGGAUCUACAGCCCAGGUUCCCAUGGGGCCUGCAGGAGCCCAGCCCAGGAGCAGGCGGGGGAGAGACCCGGACAGGCACAUUUUCUGUUUCCAUUUUCAGACAAUUUCAUGCUCUGGGGAAAAUGCUUUGAGAAGAGGCCCCCCUCCGCCAGCCUUCAGCAGGUUAGUUUAGCUUAGUAAUUAGCAAUCACAAUAUGAGCUGGGAUAAUUAUCCCCAAAAGUCAAAAGAAAAACACAGAUGUUUUUAAAGCUGCGCAGUAGAGACUUUGCCUUUCGAUUGUAAUAAUUUAGCAUGCAAAAUGAAUUAGACGCUGGCUUUUCCUGGGACUUAAUUUCCAAGGUAGGUUGAGGAAAAUCCGACUGUUUUUGAAACGAGCAGUCUUGGACGAGGAGGUGGGAAAACACAGGACAAUUUUCAGAAUCCAGCAAGAGGUGAGGGAGGCCGGAUUGAAUAAACUAAGGAGUUCUCUGCCCCUGGGACUGGAGUUCAAGCUUCCUCAUCUUUGAAAACCCGUGGGAGGCUUCUCUCUGCUGAAACACAGAUUGACAGGUGUGUGCUUGAGGCUUGGUGUGGCUGCCACGGCCCCCGAAGGUCAAGAGCAGGAUGGAUCAAGACAGAGGACACUCCAUCCCCCUGGUCAGCUCCAAGGAGGCUCAGGGCGGCUCCGAGGCUGCAGCUCAGUCCUGCGGGUGCCUCUCCCGUUUCCUCACUGUGCCCCCACCACUGUGGGAAGCUGUUUAGCAGGGAGGUCUCGAGGGGUGAAGGUAAUUUCCGUUCUGCCCUCUGAAGGUUUGCUGGGAUACACUGACAGACACCGGAAACCGGGGAGACCGUUUGCAAACUUAUCACGUGCGCAGGGGAAAUCACUGCCCCUGACCUAACACAACUCAGAAACCUACAUGUGUCGGGGAGGGCAAGAUGGGAACACUAGAUCAUUUUUAGGGGAGCUCAAUGGGCUUGGAGAACAUACAAGGGCUUGGGACAAAGUCUGAUUCAACCCUCUGGAGACAGGUGAGGCUGAGAGCAGCCACCAGCCAAGCCUCGCAGCAUCUGGAGUGGGCUACGCCUGCAGAGAGAGGGGAGCUGGCCGAGACAGCAAUGUCCCCCACUACCACACGGAUGCUGCGCAGGAGCUGCAGACCCCCUCAGGGCAGGACCCUGCAGCCUGGGGGAAGAGCAGCCUGGCUUUAGCAACCUGCCUGGUUGGCAGGGCUUUUCCCCCUGGUUGGAGGUGGGCAGUGAAGUGGCAGGUCAACUUGGCCACCAUGUCCCUGAGUCUGUUUCAUUCAGAGCUUGCUAAGAAUGGUUGAGAGGUACGUGUAACAGGCAAGGGUUCUUUCCCCUUCUCUUAAGCAUGAUUUGGGCUUUUGAACUUUCUCUCCUUCUGUUUCCUGGUAUGCUGUUGCUGCUGAGAAUCAUGGGAGUCCCCAGGAGUCCUGUGGCUGCAGGGGAAGAUCACACCAGCAAUGUCAGUCAAGGGUUGAGCAUCUGAGUAGGCCAAGGCCCAAGCCAGGGGCUCUCAGAGGAGUAGCCUGAUGUUCCGAGAGGUCCAAGGCCACACAGUUGAUGGGUGUCAGAAGAUCAGCACUCCUGGCCUUCUCUCUGUAUCAUUCCCCAUAUGGGCCCCAAGCGCUCCUCAAAGUGGCAGGGUGCAGUUGAUGGUGGAAUAAAUGAGGUUGAAAUAUGCAAGGACUUGGUGGAAUUAUUUAAUCAGCCCCAUAUUAGAAAACACGUGGCUUCAAAUUGGAUGCCAGGGCCCGUGUGUCCUGCUCUUCUUCCCAGUCCUGGACCCCGCACUGCCCUGAGUGGGUGCCCUGGGUGUCAGCAGCAGCUAUAUCCCCAGUUCUUCAUAGCCAGGGGGGUGCCUCCCGGGCAGACUGGAGAGGCAUCCUGAGCCCCUGGGAGGACCCUGGGUUGGAGACGGACACUGUGCUGCUGUGGAAUGUCCAGUGGACCAUACGUCUUCCCUAUCUGGAGUCACUCUCAUUUUCAGGAUCAGCAACUUCCUGUUUGUCUUUUAGGCUAUUUAUUCCACAUUUUCCAAUAAUACAAAUAACAAGGGCAAUGAUUAUCUUCAGUUCUGCCUACAUCUUGACUAAUUCCUUUGAGAUAAAGCCUUAAAAUAAUUACUGAGCCAAGUUCACCCAUCUCUUAAAGGCUUUCUCCAUGGCUGCCAGAUUGCUUAUCGUGAAGAUUUAAACCCCAGGCUUGUGGGGGGCGGGGUCUGCCCCUUUGCUUUCUGGAUAGGGCAUCAUCUUUGCUAAUCUACUUGGAGAAAAGUAACAUCCCAGUAUUCUAAUUUUCCUUUAUUUGUUUAAUGGUAUUAAAAGUCUCAACAAAUUCAGUCUAAAGAUCUAUUGGCCUUCGUUAGUGAUCCACGAAGGGAAAUCAUCUCACCUAAAAAUUUAGAAAAGGUGUCCAAGGACCCGAGCAGAGAAGGUGUGCUUACUAGGCAGACAAAGGACCAAAUAAGCAGAAUCAGGGAACAACAAGUGGGUUGGUCAUUUCAAAGUUACUUUAGAAGGUUAGCAGAGGGGACUUGCUCAUCAUGCCGGCUGGGAUGGCCUCUUCAGGAUCUGGCCAUCAUCUCUCUCCUGGUUUCUCAGAAGGUUGGAGACUUCACUUAGUUUCCGUUUGGUGACGUGGGGCUGCAUCAGGAGCGACUCCAUUCUGGCCUGGUCCUGGGGGCUCAGUGCGGGAGCUCAGCCUCUAACAAUGGCAGCUCUUAGAUCCCACUUGACAAGGGUGAGGCUGAGCGGGUUUCCUGGGAUUGAGGAUCAUUCGUCUUCCUGGGUGGUUCGCCCGCAUAUGAUCUUUGCCCACAUGUCCCUGGUUGUCCCACUCAAAGCUGCUUCUCCUGUGCCAAGCUAUCAGCUGUUUGCGCUCACACUCAGCCGGCUUCUGUGGUUCUGCGUUUACACUAGUGGCAUCUAGCACGAUGCUCCCAGGAAGCCACACGUGGCUGAAACUUUGGUCUAAGGCACUGUCUCCCCCCCACUCCCACUUUUUAAAAUUGAAGCUUGGCUGAAACUGGAGAGUUCAGUGGGGAGGAAGUUCAAGGGGUCAGAGCAUAUCCUGUUCCUCAUUUCGCAAACCACGCUGCUAAUUGCCCAAUUUAGAGUGAUUUGGUGGCAACGCUUGGCAGCAGAAUGAGAACUGCCUCACGCGUGAGGACAGCUGGGAUAUUUUCAUUCUGCAGGGUGGCGAGUACAGGAAGUCCCGCUCCGAGGCCUCUGGGGCCCAGAAUGCUGGUUUUGGAGUGGCACAGACCUGGGUGUGAGUCUGGGAUCCGCAUUGACUGAGUCCGUGUGACCCUGAGUUGUCGUUCGGCCCUCCGGAGCUUCCUGUGCCUGAAAAAUGGGCUUUCCAGCUUGCCCUCCAAGAAGACGCCACCUUGGCAGGCGAGAGGGUGCCACCCAGGGCCAGGACCCCCCUCGGACCCCCGAGGUAUGAACUGUGUGCACAGCAAAUCUCCGUUUCUCCCUCCCUCCGUGCAGGGCUCCAUUUCCUCUCCCGAUCUGUAACCCAGCCUUGUUUUCCCACAGCGCUGAAUGGAAUGUGGCCACCGCGUCCGGGGCUUGUGGGUUCUCCGCACAGAACUCUGGGUCAUGCCCUUGGCAGGAAUCCCCGCUGGCUGCAGAGCGCAGGAAGGGACCUUCCAGGCCCCCUUUGCCCUUGCCCUUCUUACAGGAAAUGGAAAUGCGACAGGGAAUUUGUGACUAAAUAAGCCCAAAUCGGAAACUGGCCUGGUGAUGGCGAGGCCAUGGCCGCGGAGCUUUCCCUCCCGGGUGCCAAGCCCCGCGCUCAGCGCCGCAGUGCACAAGCGCCACACCACCCGGCUGUUCUGCAGCUGCCACACCACUCUCCCCUGGGGGCUCCCUGAGGGGACUCAGGUCCACACAGCCAUGUGCACACUCAACACACUCACACAAACACACACACCACACACACUCACAUGGACACACAACCACACUCACACUCAGAAAACACAGAGACACAGAGACACGCACACACACAGAUACACACACACACGCCACUAACAGUCAUGUGAGUUCAUUCUCACACAUUCACACGGACACACGUGUGCAGGCUCACACACUAACUCACAUGCACACUCUACAUACAGCGACACCGAGACACGAUACACACCCACACGUAUACACGAUUUAAAAACUCACGCGGGCUCACUCUCCCCUUCACACUCACACACACAAGCACGCAGACACACACUCACACAGACACACACAGCAUUGGAGCCCACUGUUGUGAGCCCGUGCUUGAGCUGCAGUGCUGGGCUGGCUCCGGGCCUUGCCACAGGGAGGACAAGUCCAGACGGAGAACCGCCCAGAAGACUGGGGGCCCGAGUGUCCUGGAAAACCACAGGAUGAGGGUGACCCUCAGGAGAAGAGACCACUCAGGGCCUCCGUGAGCUUUCUGUGGGGCCCAGAGCAACUGCAAGGAGGCCUGGACACGGGGCCAUCUUAGAGGGGCAGAUUUGGGCUCAUAAAGGACUAUUAGUCAAGUUCAUAUGGAGCUGGGCCAGGGUGAGGCGUGAGGAGGACGGAGCCGAGGCCUGGUCUUCAGGGGAGGCCAGACCAGUGAAUCAGGGGCUCAGAGAGAUGGCAGGCUGUGGGGCAGAGUCCAGGUGGCCAUCUGAGCCCACAUGGGAAUGAGCUGCUGGUCACCAGUGUGCCAGGUGGGGUCGAGCAGCCAGGGCACGGGCACAUGGGCAAGGGGCUCCAAGACCCAGGAGGAGGCUGGGAGGAGUUGCCAAGCAAGACCCAGCAGCAUGACUCAGGCCACUGUGCUGCACUGGACCGUCUCUUUGUCUCCCACCCCUCCUCCCCCUUUCUCAGGUGGUCUCCUCGGAGCACACCUCUAGUACCAGUGACCGGGAAUAAAGAGUGAGUGGCCCAGCAGCCCAGGGAACCCUUUCCUUGACCAAAAUCACCUGUUUCAGCAGGUGAUGGCUGCAGGUGGGGGGCCAAGGGCUAGAGGGGUCAGGAGAGACGGAGGACAGCAGGCCCUGGCUCUGCUGCUAGUUUGCUCCGGGUGCCGAGUCCAGCACUCCGAGGCAGGUCACUUUGCCUCUCUGGGCCUCUGCUGGAGUUGUGCUUUCUGAUUUCAUGGCCAUCCCAGCCCUGAGGGCUACAAGUGACCCUGGACUCACUGUGCCCACCGAGGGUGGGUGGGCGGACACGCCCUGCCGUAGGUGCCAGCCCAAGAUCAAAUGGUCAGGCAGGAAUGUUUUUUCAGUGAGGCUAUUUAUUCCUUUGGGGUUUCAGAACAAAACCCCAGAGGCAAAAACCACUUACUUCACAGUCCCCAGCGGUUUCUUUCCAAGGAUGGUACGAGCUGAGCAAGGACGGCUGCACCAGAACUGGGAUCUUUCUCUCCACCCUCCUGGGUAAACCUCCAUGCUGGCCACCCCACUGUCUGCUGCAAACGUGGACUGGCGUCUAAACAGAUAUCCCUGGAGCCUGCUGUUCCAAGGGAGGGGGGAUCUACCAACGGCCCAAAGUAAAUGGAAACAUAAACACUUCCAGGAACGUACGUUUUAAAAUGCAAAGAGCAUGCCUGGAGAUUUAUAAUGUGUUACUGUGAUGGGCUCCCACCUCCCAACCCUUGACUGAUCUGAUGCUGGUUAGACACCUGCCAAUCAGACGUGAACUUGGAACGUUUCUCCAAGGGUCACAAAGUAGGUGGAGGUCCUUUCCAUCAGCCACACCGACCCGAGUGGCCCAAGCAGGGCCAGCUUCUUGGGUGGACAGAGGACCCAAGAGCCUCUGGUUUGAUUUAAUGUUCAGUUGUCUUGAAGGUCUUCAUAAUCAUUAAACAAGGGGCUUUGUACAAUAUGCGUCUUGAACUGUAGAGCCAAUUUAAAACGAUCUCAAAACAUCUAAGACAAACCCAGAAAUAUAAGCAGAACUUGAGAAAUCCAAGUUGAACACAUCUCUAUUAAUCAGGCAGCAAGCAAAACAGCACAGGUAUUGAGUAAGUUUGAUUUAUACAGGAAUAUGCAAACUGUAGCCAAGAUGUAUUUACAAAAGUUUAAGGGCGUAUGGAUGUUCAUAAAAAUCUACAGUGUAAAUAAUUUAUUAAGGGAACAAAUUCAUUUUAUUCAAGUAAAUCUCAACAAAUACCAGAGCAUUAAGGUCAUACUAACUGUCUCUGAGCACAAGCAAUUACAUUAAAAAUCAACAGUAAACUCUUCAGCCUUCCACAUCUCAUGAGAAUGUCUCUUAUUGGUGGACUCCAAACAGAAUUCUGAAAGGGGAAUCUGAAAAAUACAAUCUUUUAUUUAUUUCUGGCUCCUGGUCAGACCUUAGAAGGACUGGGAGAGUUCUGGGAGCUAACAGAUAGUGUCUACCACAAAAUGCAUUCGGAAAUUAAAAAAACAAAAGAAAGAAAGAAAAAGAAAAGGAGCCAAAACAAUAACCAGAAAAAGUAAAACAAAAUGAAACAAAACUAAAAAUCCCUGUGAAGUUUUAGUCACGUACAUUUGUGAAUUUUCUUUGAAAAGUAAGAUGUACCAUGCAAAUCUAAGAUAUUUUAUACCUGUAGGGGGUUCAUUAUCAUAGGUAGGACAUUUCACUGAAAUAAUUUUUUUUCCUGAAAAAAUCCAGAUAAUUGUCACUAAAGUGUUUUUUGCUUUUAUUUUCUGAAUAAUUAUUUCAAAAUGUUGUUUUAAGUGAGUAAAUGUAUUUAUGUGCAUCUGUAAAAAAAAAAAAAUCAACAGUAAAAAGAUAAAAGUAUGUUUGGAGGUUUGCUAUGGUUGGUGUCUCCCCAGAUUCAGGAUGUUGACAACUUAGCUUGCAGGGUGAUGGUUUUAAGGGGCAGGACCUUUGAGAGGUGAUUGGCUUAUGGAGGUAAAGUCCUCAGGAAUGGGACCAGGCCUGAGAGAGGAGUCCUCAUGUGGCCUUGUCCCUUCUACCAAUGUGAGCACACAGCAAGAAGAUGCUAUCUGGAACUCAGAAAGCGGCCCUCCCCAGACACUGAAUUGACCUGCACCAUGCUUUUGAACAUCCCAGCCUCCAUGACUGUGAAAAAUAAAUUUCUCGUUUAUAAAUCACCCAGAUGAUAUUUGUGAUAGCAGUCAAGACAGACUAAAAUAGAAGCUUUUAAGUAUUGCUGAAUAACGUAUUGCGUUAAAGAAAGGAAAUCACUAUGGGAAUUACGAAGUGUCUAGAAUGAGACAAGAAUAAAAGAAGAGUCUAGUGAAACUUGUGAGACACAGCAAAAGCAGCACUCAGAGGACAAUGCAUAGCCUCAGCUAUGAGAUAAGGCUUGAAGUCAAGCAUCUAGGAAAGUACCCCCACCCAAUGAUAAAUACGAGUUGAGAGUGAUAAAAUAGAAAACAAAAUCACUGUAGACCUGAGAAAUCUAUGAACAGCAUUCUGGACUUUAUAAAAGUUUUUAUUGACAUAAAUUAUUUUUAGUAGAUGCAUCACAAACAUAAUCAUUGUUUAACAGUUGUCUUCCAUAUAAGGCUAUAUUUCGUGCUUGGUUUUUUUCCUCCAUUUUAUCCCUAUAGCCCAGUCCUGAAAAAGGACUUAUUAAAUAUUCACAGAUUGAAUGAGUGGAAGGAAUUCUAGUCCUGCCACUUACCAUGUCCCUUUGACCUGGUAUUUAAUUAAUCUGAGCCUCACUUUCCUAAUCUAACAAGUGGGGAGAACAAACCUUCUCUCCCAGGGUAACAUCAGAAGCAAACGAGGUGACUGUCACCUAACUCUCAUGCAGUUCCUGGCUGCAUCAGUGGAGGAGGUGAGAUCAUGAGCCCUGAACUGGCUCAGCCACUGCAGUGUGGGCUGCCUGCCCUGCAACCGCCCUUCAUCAAGUCCCCAGCUCUCCAAGGGCAGCUCUGCACCUGGCUGUGGGGACACAGGAGGUGAACAUACAAGGAAGGGGGAAAUCUGGCCGAGAAUCUGCCUGGGAUGAUGGCUUUCACAUAACUGCUUACACACUUGUCACCUUUUUCUCACAAUGUGAAAGCCGACUCCUCAGGGCAAGCGUGUUGUCUCAUUCACCACCGUGUCCCCAGCAACCAACUGAGUGCUUCGCAGAGUUGGUGUCCCGUGAAUGUUUGGGAACUGCCAUUGGAUGUCACUGAUCUAACGUGUGACCUUAGGAAAUCAGUUGGUUUUUGUCCCAAGAUCUUACAUUUUCAUGGUCAAAAAGAAUGGGGCUUGUCAAACACCGAGAGCCAAACGUCUGGGAUUCUGGGACUCCGCUUUGCAGUUACUAUUAUGAUUCAGCCAAUUGGAAAUAACUCAAAAUUUCUAAUUUCCUUGCUCAGAGUUGCCAGUUCAGCUAGGAAAGGUCAGAAAUCAUCAACUCCUCCAAGUGUCCAUGCUCCUGGAAGGCCACGUACUAAGUGCUCAAGUGCCUGUGCUGGUUAGGAAGAAAGGGAACAGAGGCGCCAUCACUCAUGGUCAGCAGUGACCUGACAACCGGGGCCUGCACGUCCCUUCAAAUACCAACACACUCGUCACCAAGGCCAAGGCAGCCAAGGGACUCAGCCGAGUUCACUGGGACCUGCUGGUCUGAGUAGCCCCUGGCAAACACAGGGAAGGAUGGGACCUUUCGUUUUGGACCUUAAGGCAGCCACAUGCUGCGUGGUCGUCUCCCUGUGGACGCUUGAUAUUUAGGCAGCUCCUCACACCCCUCGCCACCCUUCGGCUCAGCACCCCUGGCUUCUGGUCUUGACCCCUCCCCAGCUCCCAGGAGCCUCUGCUCCUUCCCACUCCAAUCUCCCCGUCCAGCUUCGCCUUGGUCUGGUCAUGGUAUCUUUGAUUGACAGAUAUUUUUUUAAUUACUUAAAGGGUUCUAGUUUUUCUUUUAUGGCUAAUUUUUCAUCCCCACUUGCUGCAAUAAUCUGAGGAAGGGAUCCAACUUAUGUUCCAUACGGAAGCCAAAUUUCCCAGCACGUUAGUAAUCAAUCCUUUCCUUAGAGUUAGUCAACUUUCUCUGCUGAGUGAAACGUGACCUUAGACAUCUUUGCUUCACUCACGAUUUUAAAAAGAAUGCUUUAAAAAAUGCUUCUUAACAUCAAAUUGAUGUUUAUGUAGAUUUUUAAAUUUAUUUUUUCUAUCAGAUUAAGUAAAUUACUAUCUAGUUCUAGAGAGCUAUGCAUUUUUUAUCAUGAACGAAAAUGUCUUUUUUUUUGCCAUUAUUGAGUUGUUUAUAUUUUUCUCUAAACUCUUAAAAUAGUGAAAUUAUCAAUGAUUUAUUACUAACCAACCACCAUCAUAUUUCUAGGAUAACCCAAUUUGAUAAUGAGGUAUUAUUAGUUACAGGCAUUGAGAGACAUGUAUUGUUGAUGUCCUGUUAGGAUUUUUGUAUGCAUUCCUGUAGGAGAUGCUGGCCCCUGGUUUCUCUUUUCUGUACUGUCUUUACCUGGUUUUAUUAUCAAGCUUCACAAAAUGGUCUUGUCUUUUCUAUUCUCCAGAAAAAUUUAUGUAAGAUUGCCAGGGCUGCAAAUCUUAAUACAAUAUUCAAAAAGGUCACUGUCUACAUCCCUUAAUUUAAGAAAUAUUUAUUAAUACUUACCAGGUGCUAGAUACUAGGAUUACAAGGAAGAACUAAAUAGACAAUUUUUUUUCUUUUAUUGAGUUUGUAUUCUAGUGGGGAGACAAGGGACACAUAAGUAUAUGAUCAAAUAAACAAAUAGGAUAGCCACAGAUAAAGGAAAUCAGUAGGUGCUUUGACAGAGAUAGCAGGGAAGCUGGGAUUAAAUAGGCUGUUUGGGGAAGAUCCUGGAAAGGGUGGCCUUGAAGCUGGAGCUGGAAUCCAGGAGGAAGCCAUUGGAUCAGGGCGCCAUUUUGAAGUGAGGUGUUCACCUCUUGGCUUUUCCAGGAAGCUCUGAGCUCCCUGAAGAAAGAUCCCUUGAAUACACCUGUGUCCCCAGCAGGGCACCAUGCCUGGCACAUCACAGAUGUUCACCAAAUGUGUGUUUCACCGGUAGGUAGAAAAAAAUCAACAGUAAGAGUUGAAAAACACUUGAAAAUUGCCAUUAAUUAUCUGGAAGAAUCCGUUUAUAAUGCAAUUAUUGGUGGUCUAUUCGGCAAAUACGAAGGGUGCCUGGCAUUGGCUUUGCUGGGUCGACCCCACCCUUGAGGUGUUACAGUCCAGAGGGGAGUCAGAGUCCAGGCCCCAGGCAGCUCUGGCACACCGAGGUGGUGUGUGGGAGGGCAUCAACCCAGAGUGCCGUGCCCUUGGGAUGGAAAGGUGGGUGAUGAGAGAUCGGGUGUGGAUCCUCCCUGGCCUAGGGCUUUGGAGAGGAAUUCAAAUAGGGACUGAGAUCCCCUGGAGGGCAGCUCCUGGGUUGAGGACAGGACAGGAGCCAACGAUGCUCCGAGCCACACAGAGGUCGGGGGCAUCCUAACCCUCUCCAACUCCUCCAGAUCUGGGGUGGCCUCCACCUGAAGCUGUUUAGAUUGCAUGAGCACUUGCUUCCUGCUCACAGCCUUUGACAGCACUAACUGGCUGGUCUACACCCUGAGAGGGAGGGUGUCCUCCGAGAUGAGUCAUCAAAACAGUGAUGGCAUUUGAAGUUGGCUGGGCAGGUCCGUGUUUCCUCAUUCCCUAGCCACGUCCCAGUGACGUUCUCGGCCACUUUGCUCACACAGCCUUCCUCUGAUGUCACAGUGCGUUUCCAUACUGGGGCGUUUGCACGUGGGGCUAAUGCUUCAUGAGGGAGGCCGGCCCCGCGUGGGCUGAAAAACAAACUUUUAAAUGACAUUAAACAGUAAUGACGUCUUGUUUAGAUAUUUGUGUGCACUUGUCAGUAGGCGUUUUCAGACCUCAGAACCUGCUAAUCUCUUCUAGAUAACACGCUCAUUAAGGACUGUGUUUUCAGUCCCCUGCCCCUUCACAGCAGGGAGGCGUCCCGACAACUGCAUAAUCGGGUGAUUGUGUCAUCACCCAGGGAGUGUUACAGAGGUGCUCACACAGACCAAGAUGGCUGUGACGUCACCAAGCCAUCUGACCUUACAAGGCCACUGUUGUCUACGUGGCCUAUCGGUGACUGGAUUACCAUUAUGAAGUUCAUGAUCAUACUCAAAAUAAAAUUCUUCUCUACUGAAACAAAACAAAACAAAAUUAAAAAGGAACCUCCAUCUGCUGCAUACUGCUUGCUGUGGGGUCAGAAACCCUCCUCCCACGGUAUCGUGUGGCCGAGGGGUCCAGCGUUGCUAACUGUAGGUAAUUCUCUCCUUCUGCCCAGGCUGCCUGUGUCUGGGUUUUUCUUACUGGGACAAUGCUUUUGCGUUUUCUCUUGAAAUAAUAAAUCAUGGGGUUCAAUGAACCCGUGAUUUGGGAAAUGCACAAAUGGUAGGAUUAUGUAGAAGUACCGGGAAGGUUUAAAUGGAACCGACACCUUCCAAACCAAGGAGGCUCCUGGUAGGAGCUCGGCAAACAGCUGUGCCCUGAGUGAACAAAAAUGUCCAAUUCUUAACUGUGGGUCAGGAACAGUGAUCACACCGCAGCUGACUUUUUACAUUCUCUAUUUUAGCUUGUUCUUCCUUUAAGGAAAAGUACAGAAGACCAUGUUAAAUUUUAAUAUCUAGGAACCUCUGAGUUUCAGCCCGAGGCUAACUAGGAAGGUUAGUGACUCUGGGGAGCUUUGGCAACAUGGCAGGAGGAACAGCAUAGGAAUGGCUUCCGCCCGGGGGUCUGCAGGGAAAUCCCAAGAUGCCGAGUAAAUGCCAUCCAUGACAUGGCUUCAGGAUGCCCCACUGGCAGCCGCCCCCCUGCUGGCUUUUCUCCUGAGCUCAUUUCCAGGGAUAUUUUGCCCCUUCCUUCUCCUCCCACCCUGUGGCUCAGGACCCUGGGCUCCUCUCAGCCUCAUUAUUUUCCUAUUUCCUGGAUUCAGUUCAGUCUCCUUGGGGUUCAGCUGCAUUGGCCACUUUCCUGGCUGUGACCUGGAACCUGGAGGACAGAAAAGAAGCCUGGAAGGAGAGUGAAGGAGGAAUAGGGAGCAAGUGAGAGGAGGGACAGGAGGAGGUGUCCUCUGCCAGCCCACCCCAUGCCCUCCCAGGUCACUUCCCUCUCUCCUGCUGCCUCAGCCCAACCCACUGUUGGAGCAGCACUGGAAGCACAUUCCCAGCCUGGUCUCUCUGUGCUGGCCGUGGGUCCUGGUGACUGCGCCGUCACACAGACGGUCACACCAUCCCACAGCGUGGGGUGCUCUGCACUCCUGGGGAGCUGCUUUGGCUUCCUUGCUCAGUAGACCAGACCCAACUGGGCCCUGAGACCCAUCCUGAGCUGCCAUCUCCUGGGCUGAAACUCGACUCCGCAGGCCUCUCUCCUGCCCAGGUACCUCCUGCCCAAGCUGGGAGCACUCAUAACACAGUCAAUUCCCAAAGUCCCUUGGAUUGCAGCAAGCUGGUGUGGGGUCCGGGGUUUUCUGCGCAUGUCACCUCGGAGCCUGUUGUGCGUGUGGGGUGUGGGUGUGUGCACACGGGGCUAUUGGUCCCUCCACCCCCGCCAGCUAUCUGUCCUACUCUGGGCGAGCAGCGCUGCCUUCCCCAGCCAGGGAGGACAGCUGCCACUCUUCUGUUCUCUGGAAGGGCCUCAGCGGGGAGGCAGGCUCUCAGCAAUGACAGAUGGGUUUCUCACAGUGAUUCUGUGGUUCUUGGGGUUCCGAGAAGAGAAUGGCAUUGGAGCGCUUGGCUCUGAGCUCUGGCCCUGCUGUUCCUGCAUGUGGGUGAGAUUCUAGCCUCCUGGGGUUCAGGUGCACACCUGCACCAUGCUGCUGAUCACUCCAGGCUGCUGUGAGGGCGGGAAGCCAUGGGUGGGAGCAGCUGGGUCCCCUGAACCUUCUGUAUCCCUGCUGUGCCCCCCAACAGCAGAGCUGCACCCCUGCUCCUCCAACCUCAGAACCUGGCCAUCUGGUAACUCUUAGGUUCCCCUUUGGAGACCAAGAAUAAUUUGUUAUAAAAAGAACAGGGAACGAGAAACGUGGCCCAUGUCUCAGGGGACUUGUUCAGGGCAAGUCUGUCUCCUUUACUUCUUGCCCCUACUGUACAGGCCUGGACCCCUCCAUGAGGGUCUGUUUCUGACUGAUAAAUGGAACAGAUGUGAGUGUAGGGGAAACAGAUCCUAGAAGCCUGGGUGCUUCUGGAAACCUCUCGGGAGGAUUUGUGGGGGAAUCUAAGUUGCAGCAAGAAUCAUAAUGGGGAAACCCUUUGUUUCAUUAAUCACCCUGUCAGAGGCCAGAGAGGGGCUUCCCAGGAAGCUUUUAACAUCCUGCAUUAUGGCCCGACCGGCUCAGCUCUGCUUGGAGAAGAACGAGGCUCGUCAAUUAUACAUGGCUGUGCGGGCGGCCGAGUCAGCGCCCCUGAGAGGCUCCGCACUGACAGGCGGCUCCGACCUUGGGCCCCUGAGGGAGGGAGGGACUGAGGCUCACCUCUCAGGCCGCCCCACUUGGCAGUCGCCUCCCUGCUGGCUGUGCCUUCCCCAGGCAUUAUGUGGAAGUGACAGAAAGUCACCUGAGUGUGAAGGUUGGAAGGGAAAGGGCACUAUAGUGGGGAGAUGGAUUAGAGGGGUGCAUGUGGCAUAGGAAGAGCUGUUUCUGUGGGUUUCUGGAACCCGUGCUGGACCCUGGAGGGGGCGUGUUUACAGGGCUCAUGUGGAAGAGCCUUGCAGAGCAUCUAGUUCACACCCUGGACUUACAAGGAGGAUGUGCAGAAAGAGAAGGUGACCUACUCAGUGUCACUGGCAGGGUGGCGAGGAGGCUGAGGUUCUCUUGCAGGGAAGUGAGGGGCGUGGAGGAUGGUGACCUGGGAAGGCUCCAGGCCAGGCCUGUCCAUAGCACCCGGAUCUCACAGCCACUCAGGAGGCCCACUUCCUCAUCUUCUUCCCCCAAGAAGAGGAAAGCCAGGCCUGGAGACUUCAGUGACCAGCCGGUCAGAGGGAGCUGGGCGGCAGGGCUGGGGCUCAAAGCCAGUCCUCUAUCCCAGGUCUUUCCCUGGGAACCCCAGGCUGAGCUGGGGGCCUUUGGCUGAGGCCGGACACUCUUGCUGUCCUUGGUCUUCUGUCACCACAGUGAUCUUCAGUCCUGCCAACCACCCGGUACUGUGGGGCCAGAGACUCUGCAGCCCCACCGAAUGCAAGGGGUGAGGGUGCCGGCUGUACUCCAGCAAGCAUGGCCAUGGGGUCCACGAGGCCUGUGUAUGUGAGGGCUUCGGAAGGCCUGAGCGGGCUUCUUGCUGCCUUGGAGAGGAAGAUGGUGGGGAGGAAGUGGGGCACUGGGGCUACUCUGGCCAAAGGACUCAACCUUCCUGAAGGAAUAUGUCACCUGGUCAUUUGAACAAGCCACUCUCCUGCCUGAAACCUACCAGAGCUUUCCUCAGUGUGGCCUGGGGCUGCCUGCAGAGCUGCCUGGCCUGAGCCCCGUUUCUGCCCUCACCCCUCGCCUCCUGGCCUUCAGGCCUGUCCAUCUGUCGCCUUCCAGUACCUCUCAAGUUGUGCUGGACGUGCCCUGCACGAUCCCUCUGUAGUCCCACCUGACACUCUAGCUUUCUGGGGUUGGGGACAGAGCUCAAUAAAGGAGCAUCCAACUCAGAGGAGGAGCCCACAGACUCCCAGCCCUCCCUCGCCUGUGGUGCUCUGCAGAGCCAUUCCUCCCAGCCCUCCAUGAGGUCAGUCUAGCCGGCAUCCUGAGGGUCAGGGAGGCCAUGGAUGCCCCAACCCCUAGCUGGCCCAGGUAGAAGCCAGGGCUCCAGGCAACAGAGCCCUGCCAGGAGGGGCCAGGAGCAGUGGCUGCAGCCCUGGCAUCCAAGUUAUCUUCCAUACCCAGGCAAAGACGGGGACACAGAGGGGCCGGGACUGUAAGUUCUCAGAGGAGGGGGGGCUGAGCAGCUGUCUGUAGAAUCUUCCAGUGUGCACAGUGCUGAGACACCAGGACAGAUGCCAUUCCAGGGCUAGAGCAGCUGGCAUCACAGUGGUGGGCUGACAGGGGUGGGAUGGUGGGGUGGUGUGUGCCCAAAUGCAGUGCCCUCUGAGGCUGCGGGGUACAGACUGCGGAUUGGAUAAAUAAUUCAAAGCUUGACAUUUACAUCUGGUCUGCAGGCACCACGCCACCUCCUCCAGGGCCAGCUCUGCUGCUGAGUGUGCCUCCUGGUGGCAAGCAGGCUGGAGGAGGCAAGCCACAGCCCUACCGCCCACCACGGGGCCGCACUUAUUUCAGAGAGCGCCCUUGUGGCCUGGGCUUAUUCAAGGACACUUGUGUUCCCCAGGGCCACGGUGCCUUAGGCUUCUCAUCGAGGGCUGGAGAUGCAGCAGGAGGCCCAUCUACCUUCAGCCAGCAAGAGGAACUUCUCAGAAGGGAGUGACCAGUAAGAAAAAUGGGCCCUGUGUUUGGAAGUCCAGGCUGUAAAUUUCCUUCAGAUUUGGUUUCAUGUUCCAGAGGCCACAGCCCCCAGGCCAGGAGGGAGGGCUCUCUGUGAAAGACCAGGCCCCAGGGCCCAGGGCUCAGGAGAGGAGCCGCCUCAGCCUACUUGGAUCCAGAGGUGACUUCUGUUGGCAGAGCUCAGAGGAGGGGAGGAGGUCCCCAUAAAACGACCCAAACUUGAAAUGCCAAAUAUGAACAUUAAAUUAAAAAAAAAGAAGAAGAAGAAAGAAAGCCUCCUUAACCCCUUUACCACCAGGCAGGGACGGCAGCAGGAGCUGCGCCUGCCCCUACCCCAGCUGCCGGGGUCUCCGUCCGGCGUGUGAGCUGUUUUAAUGCUGUCUCCCUGGUUGGCCACAACAUGAAUGCCACCUGGCAGGUGUAGGGAGAGAAAGCACGCAGCCUCCCGGGCACUGCUGGGUGCCUGUGGUUCUCCCACGGUGAGAUAGAAGGUCCAAGAGCUCAAGGGCCAGACGACCAGGUCUGGUACCAAAAGCCUCAGAAUGGGAGGAAAAAGGAAAUCUCUGGAAACAGACCUCCAGGGGUAGUUGCAGAGGGUGAGGGAAGGCAUCCUCGGGCAGCUGGGUGGCCUUUGACCUUCCUAGUAGGACCACUGAGCUGUAGGAAGGGGAAGUUGGUCCUAGGUCUGCCCCCCGCCAGCGGGUAUGGACUGAAUGCUUGUGUGUCCCCCAAAUUCAUAUACUGAAGCCCUGACUCUCUUUGUGGUGAUGUUUGGAGAUGGGGACACUGGGAGGAGGUGACUAGGUUCAGAUGAAGUCGUGAGGGUGGGGCCCCAUGGGGGGAUUAGUGCCCUCAUAACCAGAGACACCAGAGAGUUUACUGUCUUUCCUCUGCACAUGAAGACUCAUCAAGAAGGGGACAUUUGCAAGUCAGGAUUAGUUCUUACCAGAAUCCACCACGCUGCCACCCUGAUCUCGGAUUUCCAGCCCCCAGAACUGUGACAAAUAAAUGUCUGCUGUUUAAGCCACUCAGUUUUGAUGUUUAGUUAUUGCAGGCCAAGCCGAGAAAAAUACCAGAUGUCUGGCCUUUGUUGAUCUCAGAAUCUUCGAUGACCUAUUUUAGAAAGGAAAAUACCGGGCACCUCUGUUUAGAACAGAGCACUGUCCCCCUUUCUUUGGGAAGUGCCUUUUCCAGGUACACAGCUGAUUCUCUAUGGCACAAUGUUGCCCUAGAGAAGUUCCUUGGCAAACACAAGCAAAUACUAGCAGAGUUGUUCUUCUCUGUCCAUUGCUCCUUCUUCCUCCACCACCACAAGAGGUCUGUGGCCAGGAGGCAGAGGGCUAGCCUGUGAGCUCACGGCCACCAGUUUGCUACACCCAGGGAGGUACUCAGUGAAUGAUGGAUGGAUGGAAAGGUGGUGGUGGGAGAGCUUCCAAAUCCAGUCUUGGCUUUGCUAUCCUCAAAGUCUGCCUUGGGCCCCCAGUUCCUUGUCCUGCACCAGAUGGUUCAGCAAGAUUAUCGUAUAGGCUCCUUUCACAGGCUCUAACCCUCCUGAGAGGUAUCUGUUGCCCUCCCAGAAGGUGUGGGCUGGUGUAGACACGGGUGCUUGGAGAGUGUCCUGGGGAACCUUGGCUAGAAGGUCUGGCCCGUGGGCAUCACAGGGUUCCUGUCAAGAAGGACAGCUCAUCCUGGGAAGGAGCUGCUGCUGGCCGUUUCUUCAGCAACACAACUCCAAGCUCUGGUCCCACGGACAUGCUCAUUUCCGUGGCCAAAAGAAGACAAGGGCUCUGUAGCUUGGAGGUCACACAGCUCAAUUCAUAAUGAGAAUAGAUUUGGUGUCUGGCAAGAAUAUCAUGCUGAGGGGUAAUUUUUCUCCUGUUAUAAAUCCAUUAGGACAUUAAAAAUCUCAGCUGUGACUUUAAAAUAUGGAAUGGAAUUUUCUUCAGAGCCCCCUAGGUAAAUUUUCUUCUGUGGUAAAUGCAGAAAUCUAAUGAAUCUCCGCUCGCGCACAGAGGACUUUGCUCCCAGCGGUGACUACUGUGCUUGGGCUGCUCCCCAACUUGCAGCUUGAAUGAUUAUUUCAGAAAAAGCUCACAUAAGCCCUGACAGUGCUUGCCCCAGGCUGGAACUGAGAGCGCAGCCCACAGGUAUUACAAAAUACCUACUGCGCGCUGGAGGCCACUGGGUGCUGAGCAUGAGUCUGUGCACAUGGCAAGUCUACACCAGGGAGGGCAGCGUACCACCAGGAUAAGCCAGCCUGCGACACAGGCCCACUCCACUGCUUCACCAAUCCAGAAACCAGACUUUGGCAAGCCUGGACCUGGAGCAGGCUGGAGAUCGGGGCCUGGGGACUGACUAUGAGGGAAGGCUCUGGGAAGCCCAGAACCUGCUUGGGAAGAGCAGCCCUGGGUCCUUCCUCAACAGCUGUGCCGUCAUCUCAGGCUGAACCAUCAGACGGCAGACAGAAGAGCCAGGGAGAGACCCACAGCCAGGCCUGCAGCCUGGGGCCAGGACCGCCCAGCUCAGGGGAGCCUCAGCUCCGGGCCAGAGGAUGGGACUGAGCUGGAAAGGUGAAGUUGUAAGUGGAAAGACAUAAGCAAGCGGACAUUCUGUUCCGAGCCCAAAGUCAGAUAACAAUUUUCCUCCAAAUGUUUCUGUGCAACUUGAAUGCAUUUGAGUGCCAUCAACAAAAGAUGCUUUCACAGAUGUCCCAACAGCGCCCUCGGAGGUUUAAGAAUGUUUCCAGGAAUGUGGCUGUGGAACUGACCAGGGCCCUCUGUCUUAUCAUCCUGGAUGAGCUCAGGGCACCUGGCAGCCCAAUAAGUGCCCCCUGUGGUUUCAGCCACGAGCCAAAGCUGGGAAGAAGUCAUGUCAGAUAUUCGAGCUCCUUUAACAAAUGAUGCCCCCAAAUCCAGUGGUUCAAUGGGAUCAAAGUUUGUUCUCACGCUUUUAACCACCAAUGCAAAUGUCCCCCCAGGUGAUGACUGGGUCACCCUGGCUCCUAUUCUCUUCUGUCCUCUUCGAGGCCAUCGUCACCCAUCUCUGUGAUCUCAUUAGGGUUCUGAGGAGCUAGGGCAGGGAAGAUGCUAGUGGAAGGUUUUGAUGGACCAGGCAGGAGCAGCACACUUCUGUCCCACUCAUGUCCUCUGGCAAGAACAGGCUGGGAGAGGCCUGCAAGGCGUCCUGGGAAAGGCAGUGCACAGGAGGCCGACCAGAGGUAGGCCAGGUGACAGCUGGCAGUCCGCUGCAGCUCGGAUGCAAUGUCUUCUAAGUCCCUCCAGCAGCAAAGACCCUGAAUGUUCAUCCCAUUUGGCUCCACAGCCCUCAGUGGGAGCAACUGUGUGGAGCUGGCUCUUCUACCUCACCUUCGAGCACUGCUCCAGCCCAGAUGGGGCCUCCGAGCAAGGGCCGGUCCCACUCACACACUUCCUGUUCCCAAAGCACCCAGCCCACGAAUUUGCACGGAUUGUGGACUCACAUGCCGCCUGAGCGAAUGGCUUAAACACCUGACUUUAUAAAACUCCUGGGGGAGAAGGACAGAGGCCUGACGUCUGCAGCCGCAGGUCCCAUCCUGGUCCGGCUCACACUGUGAAGCCCUCCCUGGCCUGGUGUCAGGAAGCCUGGGCAACAAGAACCCACCUUGUUAGGCUGCUGCAAGGAGUAAUGAGACCACAGCCGUGACGUGCUGAGUGCAGCAUCUGGGCCAGCCGUCGGCUCUCCCUCCAUCUUCACACGGGCUCCACCGUCUUGACAAAGCCCCGGCAGGGGUUGUGUUCACAACCGGCGGGACCAGGACAGAUCCAAUCAUAUUGUCUCUGCAAGUGGCCUGGAUUCUGGCACCAUGGAGAACCGUACCUAGAAUGUUAGAUGCUUUAUCUAAGGGUCCAGCAGAAUCUCCUGAAGUCCCUGCAGGAGGAGGGACAACAUAAUGGUCACUGUGAUUCUUUACACUUCUACAGUACUUUGUGGCACUUUCACAUCUGUUGUCCCACCUGGGGGUUCAAUGGCCUUAGUAAAUAGUUUUGGCUUUGCAGACCAUUUAGUCUCUGUCAUGCCACACAACCCUGCCAGUCUCAUGUGGCAGCAAACACAGACGACAUGUGACGAGCGGCCAUAGCCUUGCUCCUCUCAGUCAUUUACAAAGGCGGGUGGCAGGUCCAGUUUGAUCUGCUUACAAGUCCACUGAAGUUCAAACGGAGUCACUGGGUGUCACACAGCUCUUGCUGCAGCUGUUGGACCAGGGCUGACAGAGCCCUCUGGCCAGUGGCCAAUCAUUCUCUUUCCCUUGAGAAUUGGGAACUAAGUCAGCACAUGAGGAUCGAGCUGCUUCCUCCCCCUGUGCCUGCUGUGCUCUCACAGCCAUACCUGAUAGAUGCUCAACCAAUGGAGGACUGGCCAGGGUGACAGGGAGAAGAGGCAGUUCGGGGACAUCAGCACUGCAGGGUCAGAUGCGCUGCAGCGGAUCAGAGAACCAGAGAGGGGUGUGUGCUCUGGAGACACAGAGACAGGGAGCGAUGCACAGAGACAGAGACAGGGACAAAGAGAGAUAGAGUGAGACUGAUACAGAGACAGAGAGGGAGAUAUACAGGAAUGGGGACAGAGACAAGACAGGGACAGAGAGAAGCAGAGGCAUCCGGAGAUAAAGACAGAGAGAUUGAGUCCGAGUGACAUCCCAUCUCCCCCUGAGUUCUGCGGAUCCUUACUUAGCAUAACCCCUGUUUCUGAGCUCGCCUGACCAAGGCAGUGGUGUGGCAAGGAUCAGGGCCCAGGCCUCCAGAGCCCGGCCGCAGGGCUCGCUCUGCCAAUCAGUGGUUGUCAACCUUCACCUCGUUUACUCCGUCAGGGGCCAUAUCCAAACUCCUGGGCUCCCCCGUGCUGGACAUGGAAACCUUCUUUCCUGCAAGGGUUCUCCAUCCUGGGCUUCUGGGCCUUCUGUGGUGACCCAAACAUCCGUGUCUCACAGGGUGACACCGCUUCCCACCUGGAAGCUGCGUGCUCCACUGCAAGACUCCUGGGUAUCGGGAAACACCUGGCCACAAUGGCCUGGGUCUGUCCCCAUGGACGGAUGGACCUCAUUCCACAACACCAUAUACCCCCCACAACACACGCACAAAUAUGAUGCCACAUUCUCCCCGUGCCUCACAAUACUCACACACACUAACACAUCUGCACAUACACCAUACACAGCCAUACCAUAUAACACAUCACACCACACCACGGAACACACGCCAUUCACACGCACACACCACACACUCUGCACACACCACCCAUGCAGGCACACCACACCCAUACCUCCACAUACCCACGCCUGCCCCAGCACCCCGCACCAUUUCCUGUUGUCCUUCAGUGCAGAGCCACCCACCCCAUCUCCGCCUCUCGAUGCCACCAGCAUCCCAAGCGCAGGCUUCAGAACAAUUCAGCAAUUUCAGGCUGCGUUCCCAGCUCCCUCAUUUCCUCCUAUUGUUCGAGGGGAUGUGUUUGCAGCCUGUGUGUCUAAGCGGGAAGGCUGCAGGGUGGCCUGUGCUUGCCAGGUUUAUCAGGGACUGGAAGGUGGCUUCACAUCCUAGUUCCUGGGUAGGAAACAGAAGGAGGCGAUCCGAGGUCCUCUCUUCUGGGCACCUUCAGCUGAUAUGGCAGAACACCCACUGUGCCCCUGGGAGAAAACAAAGGACAAUAGGAGGCCCUGACAGCAGGCGGCAGGUCUGUCCAGCAGUGACCGGAAGCACUUACGUGCCAGUCCAUGUCCUUGGAAGACCACUCAUUCACAACCUGGCCAGGGGAGCCGCCUGUGUCAGCUCCGUCAAGCUGGUCUUAGUGCCGUCCAAGGAGAAGCCGGGCUGCUCAAGGACACAAGCAGAUGGGUCCCUGGCAGGGGCUACUGUUGGAUUUAGAGGAGUCUGGAGGUGUCCUCUGCAGGACACCUCAGAGUUCCCUGUCUGGUCCAACCAGUUCUGCAUAACAGCUGGCCCAGGCACUUUGGGAGCUGGGGCCCAGGACAGGCUCUGAGCUGAACUUGCCUCCAGACCUGGACAAACCACUUUCUCCUCUCGGCCUCAGCUUCCCCACCGGUUCAGAGAGCCUUGGUUGAGACAGCAGCUGCGCAUUCGAGUCCCCGGGGAGCUUGGAAUACAUGGCCAGGCCCAACUCCAGCCUGACUUCUGACUUCUUUUGUUGGGGUGGGAGCCAGCCCUUACGAAUGUCCUAGCCUCUCUGACUGUAGCCAGGUGGAGAGUCCCAGGGCUGGGCUCCUGCUCCCGUUCUCUUCAGGGGCUCAGAUGAGGGGCGAGGCCUUGGUUUGGGGAGGGCAGCCGGCUGUUUAAAAGGCAGCCUGGCUGCUAUUCCUCUGCUGCUUUAGUUUGUAGAUCAACUCAGAGUUUGCAGGUGAGUUCACUGAACUGUCACCUGGUGCUUUUGUGGAAUUCUGGGGCACCUGACCUGGAGGGCUACGGCAGCUAGAGUGUGCUGCCUAGGACCAUGAUCGCCAGCCAGGCGUCACUGUUCAAAGUCAAGUGUAAACAAAGGAAAAAACCAGCUCCUCAAGGGUUCCAUACCAACACAUGGCUAGGGCCACUGACUGCAGUGCAAGGACAGGACACCUCUGCAGCACUGGAUGCUGCUGACCUGGACUGUAGGCCAUUUUACAGAUGGGGAAAGAGGCCCAAAGAGGCUAAGUGGCUUCUGUGGCCUCAGAGCUUAGUGGCUUAGAAUCCUAGCAAUCCUGUUGGAAUCCUCGCUUUGGAGGGGCUGGGAAAAGAGUUUGGACUUGGAGACCUGUGCAUUAUCUUUCUCCCCGUCUGCACCCCAACUUCAGCAUAAACUCAAUGUCUGGCCACCUCUGUCAGCACCCAGCAUGUGGCAGGUGCUUAAAUAUGUGUUGACUCUGAGGAGCUGGAAGCUGGGUGGGGUCUUGCGGGGCCUGGGUGUGGAGAAGGAAGAGAGACUGGGAGAGGCUCUGGACAGAGCAGGGGGGCGGGGCAGGAGGAGAGGCAAUGGCUGGAGCAGCAGGAGGCAGACCAGGCAGAGAGGGUGGCCCCGUAUAACAGCUGCCGCCGAGGGGCAAACCAGGACCAGGAGUGCAUGGGGGCUUGGGCAUCCUCCGUGGCCUCAGGACCGAGGGCUGGUGGGGUCAUGGUCCUGAUUGCUCAGACCCUGGGCCAGAGCGGGCCUUCAUUUCUGUCCCUCUGGAGCCUCUGUUCUAGCUGUGUCCCAAAGGACUUGCACCACAAUGCCCAGGGUCCUUAUUCAGCAGAGGAUAGCAGUACCAUGCCAGUCCUCAGAAGGGCUCUUUCCCCUCACUCAGUCUCUGCCACAGUUGAGCUGGGGGUCCCAGGAGGGGAAGGAGCCUCUGAGUCAGCCCCACCCGAGGCUGAAGUCUUGGGGGCUCUUUCUGAAGGUGCCCCGGGGGACGCCGAGGAAGAUGGAUCUCCCUGCGCAGUUCCCGGUGCUCAGCCACAGAGCGCUCUGAAGCGUCUUUACAAAAGGGCUGGUUUUAUCAAGUGUGGAUCGGAGCCAAGUCUGUCAUCUGCAGAGAGGUCUGGCUGGGCUGCUCAGAAGCCCAGGUCACCUGCGAAACAUCCUCCCUGGGCAGCCUCCUCUGGCUACAGGCCUGGCCCAGCCCUCCUUGUCUUCAGGCCGAAACAAAAUCUCAAAAUGAAGGUGCUUUUUAUAAAAAGAAGAAGAAAAGUAUGAUUUCAUUUUUUUUUUUACAAGAGAGCGAGAGAUAGAGCGUUAGAUAAUUCUUAAUACUUAUUUUUUAUUUUAUUUUAUUUUUUGGUGGACACAACAUCUUUGUUUGUAUGUGGUACUGAGGAUCGAACCGGGGCUGCACGCUACCGCUUGAGCCACAUCCCCAGCCCAAUUUCAUUUUCUUUUUCCAAAUUCUAUGACUAUUAGGAUGUUUUUUUCCUUCCGUAUUCAGGGAGUGGAUCCAGUCCCCUGCAUUACAGCAGUCUCUUUAGAAUUCCAUCUCAGCAGUGGUGUGGUGGCACACACCUGUGACUCCAGCAACCUGGGAGACUGGGGCAGGAGGACCGAAAGUUCCAGGCCAGCAGUGGCAAGUUAGGAGGACCCUGUCUCAAAAACGUAAAAAUAAAUAAAAAGGGCUGGGGACUUAGUUUAGUGGUGGAGCACCCCUGUGUUCAAUUCCCACUACUGGCUCCCCCCCAAAAAAAUCCCCCUCAGUUCUUGCUCUGAAAGUGAUGGGCUGGUUUGGAUGGAAUCAUACAUUCCAGUGGGAUUCCCAAAGACGCUUUGCUGGGGGGUGCUCUGACUGCCAGGCGGGACCAAAGCAUCACAGAGGCAGGAAGGUGCCCUCGGCCUGAGAGCGCCGGAGAUGCUCCAAGGAAACAGUGCGGAGACGCUAUUGGCACAUCCCUGGCAGUAGGUGGGGAGGAAGUCAUGAUGUCCCUCAGAGAAGCGAGCCACCUCUGUCCUUGGGAGAAGCCCCACACCGCCUGGUGCAUGGACUGAGCACCAGACUGCCGACUUCUCUGUCAAGUUGCAGAUUGCGACCGUUAGCUGGAGUGACUCAAGUGGGCUGCCGGGAAGGGGAGACUCGGACGUGAACCUAGACUUGUGACUUUCCACCGCUCGGCUUCCCUUCGCCAUGCUUCGGGCAUGUUCUCCUGGGAAACCUUCCUCUGCUGGCCUCAUCUUUCCUACCUGUAAGAUGGGUCUGUUGGGUGGCCACACCAGAGGUUUGUAAGCAGGAUCACUGCCAGAGCGGGGUGGGGAUCCCCCUUGAGGAAGGAGUUCUGGGCAGCAGUUCAGAGCCCUCACUGGCGUCAGGUGGCCUGGGCACAAGUUCAGCUAAGACUUCCUUUUGUGGCUGAGAGCGAAUCCAAACCUCCCUGCCCAAGCCACAUGCACUACUGCAGAAUCCCUGGAAUAGGGCAAUGGCUUUCUCUCUCUCUGAGUCUUGGAAUUAAGGGGUUCCCACUGUACCCUAAAACAGUGCCAGCAAGGGUAAACAGGUGUGAUCCCUGCAGCCCGCCUUGCCAUGCUCUCCUGACAGGCGAGUGGAUUUGGAAAGUGCCCAGGUGUCUUUUCCCGAGGACCGCGGAACCUGGAGCCUAGGGACCGCCCAACCACCCUCUCUGAGUUGUCAGGGGUACUUAUGGCACCUAUGGCAAAAUCUCAAAAUGAAGGUGCUUUUUAUAAAAAGACUCAGAGAGCUGCGUGAAGCUGGCAUCUGAAUGGCUGCCACCCUUGGUUAGUUGGACCACCCUAGACCAUGAGAAGUUUCUGUGCUUGGGUCCUGCACCUUCUCACUGUGCCCGCCUCCUUCCUCCCCGGGGAGAGGACUCCCUGUACUGUCAUGAUAGACGCAGCCUCUCCCCUUACCCAGCCGCCCUCUAUCUUUCAGGCUUUCUUGGCAAAUCACGACCCUCCUAGCCUUCUCUGAUCCAGCUGAGAUCAUCCCUCAGGCACCAGACCCCAUCUUCUCUCACCUGCUCUAAGACCCCAUUCUAACAGUUCCCACUCUCUUCUCCUGAAUUAAGGUAUUCUUUCUCUACAGGUUCACACCCAUCAAUAUCCAAACAUGCAGGGCUUUCUACUUGUCAAACAAAACCCCUUGCCGACUCCGCGUCCCUCCCCUCCACACCCUGCUCGGCUCCUUCCCAUCACAGCUGAACUCCUUGAGGACAUUAUUACACUUGCUGACUUCCAUUUUCUCCUCCCAACUGUUAUUUCAUCCUUCCCUGAUUUAUUUUUCUUCCGAACACUGGUUACUAGUAUGCGACACGUUUUACAGUUGUUCUCAGUAUCCACAGGACACUGAACCCCCUUAUAUACCAAAGCCACAGAUACUCAAGUCCCUUACAUAAAGCUGUGUGGUAUCUCCAUAAACCUACCCAUAUCCUCUCACAUGCUCUUAGUCAUCUCUAGAUUACUUAUGGUAACAAAUGCAGCGUAAACUCUGUAACCAGUUGAUCCACAGCGAUGUUUGGGAACAGUGACAGGGAAAAUAAGUCCGCACAUGGCAGCACAGACGCAAUUAUUUUUUCCAAAUAUUUUUGGUUUGUGGUUGGUUGAGUCCUUGGAUGAAGUACUGUGGAUAUGGAGGGACUGACUGAACUUCUUUAUCUUACUCUCACCUGCCUCCCUUCUAGAAGCUAAUCUCUUUGAGGGCUGGGAUUCCAUCUGGUAUAUUCACGGCCCUAACUUCAGUACUUAGACCAGUGCUGAUGUAGAUAGGGGCUAAAUAAAUAUCUUUUAAACAAAUGAACAAACAUUCAUAGAUUACAAAAUGCCCUCAUGUGCAUCAGCAAGUUAUUUCACUGGACUUUCACAAUGGAAGUGAGUCUUGGAUGAUCUUCUUUUGCAGGCAACAGGAUGGAGGCACAGGAAGAUGAUUAAUGUCCCCAGGAUCACUGAGUCAGAACAGUGAGGAUCCCAUCUCUGACUCGGUCUCUGACGCCUGUCCUUCCCCCAACAGCUGCCUCAUCAAAGGGCCCCCUUUCUAUCAUUUUAGGUCCCUGCCGGGAAGAACUCUGUGCCACCAACUUUGUUUAUGGAUCAAGAAUGGCUGAGAACUGAACCCAGAUGUGUCAGUCAGCUUGUCUUCACUGUGACCAAAACACCUUACAAGAACAACGUAAGAGCAGGAAAAGUAUUCUGAGGUCACAGUUUGAGGUUCAACCCCUGGUUGACUACUCCAUGGCCCUGAGCCUGAGGUGAGGCAGGGCACCGUGGAGGAAGGGUGAGGCAGAGGGAAGCUGCUCAGCCCCUGGCAGACUGGGGGCAAAGAGAGAGAGAUGAGCCACGGACAAGAUAUAUAUUCCCCAAGGGCCCCCAGGGACCUUUCUCCAGCCACACCCCACCUGGUAUACCACCCAGUAGUCCAUUCAAAUUAUGAAUCCGUCAAGUGGGUCAGUCCACUGACGAGGUCACAGAUUUCAUAUCCAAUCAUUUCACCUCAACAUUCCCGAGUUGUCUAUCACUUGAGCUUAUUUGGGGGACACUUCGUAUUUACAACAUAAUAAAAGACUCAAGUGGGCGGUGACCUGCAUUAACCCGUCACCCUGGUGCUGACCUUCCGUUGCCUGAGCCACCAUCACUGGGCAAAACACUGAUGGCAUGCAUGAUGGGUUGGUUAAGAUCUUAUAUUUUGGGGUGUAAUUAAUUCAAAGGCAAUUAGAUAUUCAAUAUUUCUCUUCCUGACUGCCAGUAGGAAUUAAUAGAAAACCUUUCAAUCAGCAACAACUCCAACACAAUCUCUGGCCCCAAAGAUGAUCAAUAUCACCCAGCAGAGCAUUCCUCUCUCUCCAGCAGGCUAUUCAUUUCUGGAACUUUCAAAACCAGAGCAGAACAUCCAUUUCCAUCUUCAUCAGAAGCCCCUGCCCGCAUCCUUUGCAGACAAUCCUUCAGAAGACACAGCAAUCCACGUGACUUUCUCAGACUGUCCAUCUUCAGGUCAUGCUGCAGGUCCCAGAAGCACUCAUAGAAAACUCUGCCCAGGGGCAUGGAGGUGAGUGGUGGUCACAUUUUAGGGAUGUUGGUCCCUGCCUUCCCUGAGCCUCCCUGAACCUGUGAAGAUACCCUAGAAUAGGAGACCCUUCAUCUUGCCACCAGGUUUACAUCCUGAAGUCCCCAGAGCCAACACACCUGGCAGCCUCCCAUGGACACUCGGAACUGUUGGUGGCCUCUUUCCUUCCCUCUGCUCUGCAGGUCCAGCCCCAGGGUUGGCCUUUGUCUCAGUAUCCCACCACUUCCUCCCUGUCUGGCAAGGUCCCGGAUGUCCUGACAGCUCCUGCCAGCCACCUCCCGGGUGGGAGUUAGGGGGGUGCCUGUGGAACAGGGGUUUCUGUUGAAUCCCCUCUCCUCUCCUUCCACCCCACCUUCAGUCGGGUUGUGGGAGAUGCGGAGAAAGUUCAGAACAAAGAUGCCAUUUGCAGACUUCUUGGAUGUGAGGACCCCCUGGAGCCAACAUCCUGUCUGUACUUUCAGGCUUUACCAUCCCCUGUGGAAACGCCACAGCGAGUGUUCCCCCAAUACCGUGGGCCACAUCAGUGCUAUGUAGGGAAUGUCCUGGGAGUCCUGAGAGCUGGUGGGAAAGUGCUGCCAGGCACCCCUCUGAGGGGACAUUUCCCUGGGGGAGCACUCUCUGAGGGAGCACCUCCCAGCCUCACCCAACCCUCAUGUGAAGGGGGAGGAAUUGUGAGCCUCAGAAGUUUAGGAAGGAUGUGGAUGGUCAGGGCAUACUGUUGGCCAGCUGACCAGGAGAAGCAGGUGACAUUGGAGGAAGCCUGGGAUGCCAUCGAGGACUAUCAUUUUGGGCUAAAAUAAAAACAGAUUCUUUGGGGUGCCACUGAGCCUGGGCCAACCUGAGUGUUUCCUUGGACUUUUCCAAUUGAGUAUCAUCUGCAGAUGAUGGAGGAACGACCUCUUAAGGAGAACCCAAGGUGUGACAGCUCGUCUAUGAAAGAGGAUACAUCUUAGGAAGCUAAAAACCAUGUGAAAAAACGUUCAUUCCUCAUGAACAUGGCCCCCUCUUGUUGUGGUUGGGGAAACUGAGGUGCAGAGAGGUGAAUGGACGGCCUGAACCUUCUCCAGCCAGGAGAUGACACCCAAGUGACAGCCCAAGGUCUAAGUGGCUCCAUGUCCUUCCCAAACAGGCUUCCCAAGAGACUUUGGAAGUUCUUCAAGUGAGCAUCCGGUGGUCCCUUUACCACACUUCUGAGUGAGCACUCAAGACACCUUAGGUGGCCACCUCAGGCAGCACGCAGGAGGCUAAAUACCCCAAUUCUGUCACCUGUUGUUUUCCAAAGUCCCUGCACGGACAUUUCUUGGGCUCCAGGUCUGACAUCUCCUGGUUUGUUUACUGAUGAGGGAAUAAGGAGGUGAUGACGGACCUUAUUAGCCAUGCGCCCUCAUGACUGUGAGUCAACCCAGGCAGGCACGCGCUGGUCCCCGAGGGUGGAGACACAAUGCGGGCUGUGCCUCUGGGGAGUUAUUGCCUGUGUCAGCGCGACAACAUGGUGGGAGCCAUGUUACGUACACAGAUGUCCAAUGUCCUUCUAGGUCACAGCACAGUCUCUGUGGCUAGGUGGGUAGGAUGCUCUAUGGGUGGCCUCCCUGUACCUGGGGAAUGUUCUUAGCCAGGGUCAGGGUGGCGUGGACUGAUGUCCCCAGGUCCUACCUGCUUCUAGUCCUUCUUGCCUCUGGCUCUCACAGUCGUCUUCCGAUGAGCCCAUCUUCUCUACAGAAGCCUCAUGCUUCUGACUGGGCAGUGGCUGUUCAUCCAUCCAUCAGUCCAUCCAUCCACCUACCCACCAGCAUUCACUAUCUACUCUCCAUUCCCUCCAGAGUAAGGUCCAGACUUCUGGUAUGAUCAUUUAGGAUGAUCUGCUAUCAGCAGUAGGAGGCCUCAAAUCACUCGAGUUUAGGCCAUAAAGAUGUUUGUCAUCUCAUCGUCCAGAAGUGUGGAGCAGGGACCUCCAGCCAGGAUGGCAGAGCUCCUGCUUCACUUGUCCCCCAUCCCAUCAUUCUGUCUGAUCCUGCUCAUGGGCUUCGUCCUCAAGCUGGAGACACCACGGCCAGAGACAGACACACACUGUCCCAAAGAAGAGGGAGCUUCUCUUCCUCUGCCUCCUUCCUGUGACAGUGGGGUGGCACAUGGGCUUGGGAUGUGCGUUUUCUAGUCCUAGGAGCUGAUCAUGAAAUGCGACUCCAAACUCACCCGGCUGUCAGGUUGGGCCCAGCCAGUGGCAAAAGAUAAACAACCACUUUCAGCAUGUUCCUGGAGCCCAGUGAGCAGUCAGCGGGACACACUCAGCCCAACAGGCCCCCACCACAAGGACAGCACUGAGUAGCCCUUCUCCCAGAGCUUGGCCUCAGCCAUGUGCUAACCUCUCAGCCCUCCUCCCAUCACCGCAGCCCCUCCCAGGCUGUCCUCCUCGGGUCCCCCAGUGGUGUUCUCCCUGGCUACCCCGGGUUCACGUUUCCUUUUCCCUGGGAAGGAAGACAGUCAGCAUAAGGGCUAACCUUGUGUCACACGUGACACCAAAGCUGGGGCUGCCGGAGCUGCCAGAAGCUCCCCUCUCCACUCUCACUCCCGGGGCCUGGGACUGGGCGGACUCAGGUCCCACCCGGAAUACCUCCUCUGCCCCUGCUGACCAGGACCUGAGCCCAGAGGACCCGAGCUCCAGCGGAGGCUAUUGCAGCAGCUUAUGUCCACCCACCCUGCCUCAGUUGUAUUUCAAAAGUAGAAAACAGGCUCCAUCAUAGACGUUUUCCACAAGUGAAGUCGAGGGAGCAGCCAGGGCCCUGCUGGGGCAGCAGGGGACUGCUCGAUUUUGAGCAAGCCCUGCUCAGGCCCACAGCCCCACUCAUCCUACAAACUCUGUUUCGGAAAAUGACAGAGGGCAGAGCAUCAGUUAGGCGUUCACUCAACAAACUUCACUGAGCACCUACUGUGUGCUGCAAACUAUGCUAGGUGCUGGGUAUGGGGAACUGGGUGAGGGAGGGUCUAGCGGUGGGAAGGCACAUUAGUCAUGGGCUCGGACAGGCUGCCCCUCAGCAACCAAGUGACGCAUCAAGCUGUAUGUUCCCUCUGAGCCUCAGUUUCUGGUCUGUGAGACAGGAGCAAUAAAUAGUACCUAGCACAGAUCACGAGGAUCCGAAGAGAUAAAGUCUGUGUGAAGCGUUUAAGCAGUAGUUAGGAAAUGACAGAUCACAUGACGACGAUGAAAAAGUUCCCCUGUGGGAGGCCAACCUUACACGUGACUGGGUUACACUCCCCAGUUGGUCGCAGAAAUGUGGCAGAGCUUUCCCCACCCUUCUUAGGUUUGAGGGUCGGAGUCUCGUGCAUGGGUGUGUCUUGCUACAGCCCCAUGGGUGGAGCUACACUCACCUGUUCCUUUGUAAUAUAACCUAAUAUAACCCCUUGCCCUGUUUAGGAUAGAAUCUUCCAUGGAAGUGCCUUGUGUGUGUCCCCUUCUCUUACUGUGCCCUUGGGUGUGGCCUACCCAGGUGUCCGUCAACCUGCUGACAGUGGACAUCAUGAAGAUACUGAGCCCCCUGAAACCUGACCCCCUGCCUCAUUUGAAUAGCUUCUCCUCAAUAAAAGGGUCAGCGCGUGCUCUCACUCUCGCUCUCUCUCUUUCUGCGGACCCUUAAGGUCAGAGGAGCCGUCACAGCGACCCCAAAGAAAAAGGUA
rnacentral:lncRNA from 1 species